rnacentral:lncRNA from 1 species
UAGUCUUUUGAAGUUUAAUGCAUAAUUUGCCAGUAACUCACUUAAGCUCUCAUCUUCUUUGAAUUUUUCAGGUGGAUUUUUCCUGUAUAGGGCAUAAUGGAGCAGAAGCCUCGGAUGCUGUGCCAAUACUGAAAUUGGGUACCCAAGGCCUGGAGGUUUCAAUCUUACUUAUAAAAAUAUAUUUCUUCGUUGAUCCAAAUUGAAAAUAUUAGUUAUAGUGAAAUUUAAGGGGAAAAGAGAUUAACUUAUCUCAAAAUAUUGGGAAACAAAAAAUGUUAUUUUUGCUUAUUUUGAAGCUCAUCCUAAUAUGGAUAUGCAUCUGAUCAAAG